UCCCUGGUGGCUCAGAUGGUAAAGCGUCUGCCUACAAUGCGGGAGACCCGGGUUCAAUCCCCGGGUGGGGAA
rnacentral:tRNA from 1 species